UUUGGAAACUCCUGCUCUGGGGAGUACACAAUAUUUCAGUGCAGGAAAACCACGUGGUUGGUGCUGCCCCCUGGUGGCCAUCCGCAGGAAGGCGCAGGGGGAUCCGGCGGCGUCCUUGCUGGUUGCCGGGCAUCGCGGCAUUAAAGGAAGUGAAGAGAAGAACCCAAGAAGGGACCUCGAAGAACAGACCAAGAGCAGCACUCGACAGGUAUGGAGCACAGGGGAAGAGAAAUAACUGGGCAUUAACUAGGCAAAGCUUCCUUUGUAAUGUUCACCAGUUCUGUGUGCCCGUGUUAUUCAGGCAAGAAGUCCCUUUGAAGCAAGGCAGCCUCAGAAAGUCCCAGAAAAGCAGCCCUCCCACCAGAUGUCCCGGAAUCCCUCACUACGGCCACCACCUCCACCACCUCCACCUUCUCGUGAAGUUAAAGAAGAACGUUGCCCAUGUAACACCGACCAUGUCCUGAAGCACAGUGGCAAACUCUUGAAAAGGUACAAGGACAUCGAGUAUGUACAACAGCGUUAACCACAGAGCGGCUGAUAGCAGCUGGAAGAGAGUCCCUUUCGUAGAUCUGAAUCGAAAGUCACAAUGUUGCUGACAUCAGUGGUGCAAGACUACAUGGCAAAGAGUUAAUGACUCCAUGCAUCGGGAACUCGCCUUACCUUGCAAUAAAAAGCUCUAGGUUGCAGACCCAAAGCAUGGCUCGUUUGUCUGAAACUGGGUGUAACCAAGUUAUGGCUUUUUCCAUUGCUGAUCCUUGAAAUGUCUAGCUAUAUAGAGCUGCUACUUAUCCUUUUUUGUAUGGGGCAAAACCGACAACAUUUCUGAGUGGGGACAU
rnacentral:lncRNA from 11 species